rnacentral:lncRNA from 1 species
AUUGCAAUGUGAUAAAGUUCGUUCACCGGCUAAGCAGUUGCCAAAAAAGCGGAGAGCUGUUCGCCUUUGUGAUGAAGAUGAUGAUUGUGAAUUGCCAAAAACUCCACUUCAUGGAGGAUUUGCCAAUAAGGUUUCUGUUCUUCCACCUGUGCAAGAUUCUACAAGGAAAACUUCUUUGCAUGGUAAGAAUUUUGUCCAAGAACAAAUAGGCUUGACCACAUCUGACACAGCUGAGGGUGGCUCAAAGGAACAUGUAUUACCUACUCUAACAUCCAAUAAAGCUUCAUUAGCAACUGCUAAGCAGGGCAUGGCAAAGAGUAGUGAAAUUUCAGCUGCACAGUUAUCUUCUAGUCCUGAACAGUUAUAUUCUGGGAAGUUAUCAACCCAUUUUGGCCAUUUUACGAGAGAAUGAGCACUUGCAUUUCUGGAAAGCUUGGAUAGUCGGCAUACGAAGAAUUGAGCAAAACUUUUUGCACACGGUGUCCAUUUUGGGCCCAUAAGUACCUUUUGAAAAUGUAGCGACCGUUUUGGAUUGAACUCACAACUUCAUCGUGACGUUCGAAGGACAGCUUUUGGAACAAUAUUUGCAUCAGAGCUCGCUGGAGUCGAGUUCUUCAUAACAAGAUAUCACAAUCCUAAUUAUACACCUUAUCUUAAACAGAAAUAUAGAAAGUGGAUUCGAUUUUAUUUCUUUCAAUAUUUAGUAACCAUUAAGUUGGAUUUUUUUUUUUUAGUGUAAGAUUAUUUUUGCAUAUAAAUGAGACUACUAUUGUUGAAUAAUUCAUUCCUUGAUUAUGAUGUUUAGAUGUAUUAGAAUUCUUCUCUAAUUCUUUGCUCAGUUCUUCUAUUCUUUCCUCAGUUCUUCUAUUCUUUCCUUCUAUCUUAUUCUCUUUGAUCAUUCCACAUCAGGUCAAAAGGUUGAAAUGUAUGUUGAUAAGGUUUGGAAAUUCUUAUUUGGUACGGUUGUUUCUGGUAGAAAUUUAGAAAUUUGAUAUGUUUCUAUUUUCUUGCAAAUAUGUAAUGACUUGUGGUUUACUUGUUUGGUAAACCAUAUAUGAUUAUACGACAUUGACAGAGAUAUGAAAGUGCAUUGUAGCUGAGAAUUUGAUUGCGAACCUUGGAAAUGAUCCGUUUUGUCUAGAAAUUAUUUCCUUAUUUUCUUGGUAUUAUUGUUUGUGCACUUCAAUAUGUCUUCUUAUAUUGUUGACAUAGUUUCUGGUACAAAUUCAAAGAGGGUUUUGUGUGGUAAGUUCGAAGUUUCCCUUUUUGCAACAGAGCUUUUGUUGCACCUGCAGAUAUUCAGGCAUUCACCCGUGAGGCAAAAGAUAAAGUGUCUGCUCGAUGCCAGGGUAAAACAGUUAAAAUUUUCGCCCAAGCAGUGAAGGAAAUCUGUGAAGAAUUUGAAGAAUUACAGCACAAAAAGUCUAGUGGUAUAAGAGAUGAUACCAAUAAACUAAUUCUUGGGUCUGAGCUGCCUUCAGAUGAUAAAGUGGCAGAUAAUACCUUGGAGGUUAAUCUAAAAGAUAAUUUGAAAGGAUCAAAUAGCAAAAUGGAGACCAAAGGGCUGGAAAACCUGAGCUCUGAGCUAAAGCCCUGCUCACAGCAGAGACAAAAUGAGUCGGACUGUAAAGAUAUAAUGCUUGACAUUUCUAAUGAUGUAAGUCAUAGUUUGUCCCCAGUUACAUCUUCAAAAAAGAGGAAAAAGCCUUCUGCCGAUGGUAUUAAUAUUGUGAAGGAGUCAGGACCGACAUCUAGCUGUCAUUCCAUACUGAAAGAGGAAGGUUCUUGUGAUUACAAGUUAAGGAAGAGACAUCAUAAUAUGAUCCAGACUGAAUUGAAAAAUGAUCACAAACCAAAGCUAGCAGUGGGUUCAAAGAGGAAACCUGAGGGUGCAAAUGUAGUGCUUAGAGGUUCGGCAGUUUCAGCAGCACGUAAUGACUCUGUUUAUCAUGUUGAUUUAUCUUUUGAGAAACCUGAAGGUGAGACGCAAAAACAAAAUUCUUCAGGAAACAUGGACUCAUCUAUAGAUAAUUUGAGGUCUAGUUUAGAUGUUGAUAGUGUAAGGGCAGAAAAUAAAUUGCUGAAAGACAAAACGUAUUUUGAGGCUUCAGAUGAUUUUCAAACAAAUAUCAAAGUCAAUUGUGAGGAGAAAAAUGAGUUUUCCCAGGGGAAUAUGAGGCGUGGCUGUGAAAAUCAAGCCUUUCAGAGAAAUGAAGUCUCCUAUCCCUACAAAAGAUCAAAAUGUUCAGCUACUGCAGAUGAUGCAACCAUGAUAGAAGUCCAAACAAGCAGAAAAAAUGAUUCUAAAAGUCCUAAUGUUCUUGAUGACAUCGAUAAUACAGAGGUUAAAAGAACACCAGGAGUGAAGGCUGAGAAUGGCUUCUUCAGAGUGCAGACAAUUUCUAAUGAGCCCAAUGCUUCUGUAGAUGAAGAUGAUCUUCCCCCAACAAACUGUCGUCAACGUGCAUUGCAGGCUGAAAAUAGAUUGGGAGGUUCUGGUGCUCGUGAAAAAUAUUUAUUGCAAUGUGAUAAAGUUCGUUCACCGGCUAAGCAGUUGCCAAAAAAGCGGAGAGCUGUUCGCCUUUGUGAUGAAGAUGAUGAUUGUGAAUUGCCAAAAACUCCACUUCAUGGAGGAUUUGCCAAUAAGGUUUCUGUUCUUCCACCUGUGCAAGAUUCUACAAGGAAAACUUCUUUGCAUGGUAAGAAUUUUGUCCAAGAACAAAUAGGCUUGACCACAUCUG